UCCUUCUCCCAUACCCAUUGCAUAUCGGAGUUGUGAAUUCUCAAAACACCUCCUGUGUGCAUGGAUUACAGGAGGG
rfam:Otolemur garnettii contig154567, whole genome shotgun sequence.